UACAGAGGGUGCGAGCGUUAAUCGGAAUUACUGGGCGUAAAGCGUGCGUAGACGGUUAUUUAAGUCGGAUGUGAAAGCCCCGGGCUCAACCUGGGAAUUGCAUUCGAGACUGAAUAGCUAGGGUGCGGUAGAGGGAAGCGGAAUUUCCGGUGUAGCGGUGAAAUGCGUAGAUAUCGGAAGGAACAUCAGUGACGAAAGCGGCUUCCUGGACCAGCACCGACGUUCAGGCACGAAAGCGUGGGGAGCAAACAGG
rnacentral:rRNA from 1 species